UAUUGAGUGAGCUAAAUUACCAAAAAAAGAAAAAUUUAUUACCUAUGAUAAUUUUAAUAAUGAUUCUAAUUCUAAGAUUUUUUUUACGAUAUAUAUAUGUACAACAAAUUGAAACAAAUAAAUAAAACACAAUACUCUUACUACAUAAAGUGGUCAAUACAUUUCUAUAUGUUGUAAGGUUAAUUAGGAGAAAAAAUAAUGGUUGAAAUCGUUAAGUUUAUUCAUUUAAUGAUCUUCUUUAUUUCCUUAUUUCAUGUUGUAGUUGAAGAUGCCAAAGGUUGGCCUGCAGAUAAAAGAUUAAACUGCAAAGUUGAUUCUGAUUGUUUCAAAUUUACGUGCCCAGCUCCUUUGAUUCCAGACUGCCGUGCUUAUUAUUGUGUGUGUGAAUUUCUAAUGAAGCCCAUAGGAUAUGCAUGAAAUCAAACAUUCUUGAAGGACUUUAUAUGUAACGAUUUAGUUAUAAAUAAUUGUAUGAUAAAAUAUGUUUUCAGUCCCUACUUUUAUAACGAGAUUUGGUUUCUGUUCCUGUAAAAUAAAAUCACUUUGUUUUUAAGUGAAUUUUUCGGUACACGUAUUAUGUGGAGGUGUACCGGUACAUCGCUGAGGUGGUUAAUAGGUAACAAUCAUUUAUUGCGGA